UACGUAGGGGGCAAGCGUUGUCCGGAUUCAUUGGGCGUAAAGAGCGUGUAGGCGGCCAGGUGGGUCGGUUGUGAAAACUGGAGGCUCAACCUUCAGAGGUCGACCGAAACCAUCUGGCUAGAGUCCGGGAGAGGAGAGUGGAAUUCCUGGUGUAGCGGUGAAAUGCGUAGAUAUCUGGAGGAACACCAAUGGCGAAGGCAGCUCGCUGGGACGUUACUGACGCUGAGACGCGAAAGCGUGGGGAGCAAACAGG
rnacentral:rRNA from 1 species